rnacentral:rRNA from 1 species
AUUGAACGCUGGCGGCAGGCUUAACACAUGCAAGUCGAACGAGCGGCGGACGGGUGAGUAAUGCUUGGGAAUCUGCCUGAUGGAGGGGGAUAACUACGGGAAACGGUAGCUAAUACCGCAUACCAUCGGAUGUGCCCAGAUGGGAUUAGCUAGUUGGUGGGGUAAAGGCUCACCAAGGCGACGAUCCCUAGCUGGUCUGAGAGGAUGACCAGCCACACUGGGACUGAGACACGGCCCAGACUCCUACGGGAGGCAGCAGUAGGGAAUAUUGGGCAAUGGGCGAAAGUCUGAUGCAGCCACGCCGCGUGAGUGAAGAAGGUCUUCGGAUUGUAAAACUCUGUCGUCAGGGAAGCGGUAUCCAAACAGAAAGCCACGGCUAACUACGUGCCAGCAGCCGCGGUAAUUC